CUACAGUCAAUGGGUUUUUGGUCAUGAUCUUAACUCUGAUAAGGAAGUGUGGAAGCUCAGAAAUGAUCCAAAAUCAGGUCUGAUCACUUCCUUUGCUGUACACCACUCCCAGUGUUGGUUGGCUGUUGGGACUAGCAGUAAGACACAUGUCUGCUGGGACGUGAGAUUUCAGCUUCCCAUCGACUCCAUGGUCCACCCUAUAGAUUGAUUGUGCAAUACAGUUUUUACUGGGAGUGAUGCAGGACAAACAGAAGAAAAACAAGAAACACGCGGAUCAGUUUCAGCGGAUCUCUCUGAGGAGCCAGUUGUUAGAACGGGAUCCAGAUGAAGAGCAAGGGAACCAGUAAAAUGGAGAACUAGUUUAUAGGGAACUAGACACUUUUAUUUGU